ensembl:snRNA U6 U6 spliceosomal RNA
AUGCUUGCUUCGGCAGCACAUAUACUACAAUUGGAAUGAUACAGAGAAGAUUAGCAUGGCCCCUGCUCAAGGAUGACAUGCAAAUGCAUGAAGCGUUCCAUAUUUUA